ACAAGGCCCCCAAUUAUGAGGAUCAGAAAUGAGACCCGGUAGAGACAGCGAGUGGGAGAGGCAGCCUCCAGCCGGGUGCUGAAGGCCGCUGACCGUGUGAGUCAGAGAGUGAGUGUGAGUGUGACAGGAAGAGACAGAGAGAGGCAGAGAAUGAGAGACAGAGACCAGGCAGGUUAGGCCGAUGUGACCGUGUCCUCCCCAGGCCACGAAGGGAGCAGGAACUUCAGGUGGUCUUCAUCAAGCUACAUGGUGGCCACGGUCACUGUCAAGGGCAGGAUGAUCACAGGCAGUGACACUGGACUCAGUGGGAUCCAGGCACAUGACGUGCAGAACCCGCUCCAUUUCAGGGAGAUGAGAUACCUGUCUGUGCAGCUAAAGGCAGUGGAGAGGAGCCCAAAGAGUCAGCAGAUGUGAGGGAACUUUAUCAGAGGAAGGCCACCUCUGGAAGGUAGCAAAAACCAAAAGGAUCUCUGGAUUAUCUGUGUGGGCUUUUUACUUUGCUUGUUUUUACCAAAAAAAAAGGUAAGAAAGGAGAAAACCUUUAAUUUAAAAACAAGUAUCUUUGAAUUUUCUCUUAUUUAAGAAGCGUGUGUAAAACACUUGUUUAACACAAGGCACUGGGCUGGGGCUUUGGCCGGUUCAGACACGAUGCACACGUGAGCUCUGCCCCUCCCCCACCGCGCCUCGGGGUUUACUCAGUGACUGAGGCAAUUAUUUUCAACAACUGGUGCUCUUUUAGAGCAUAAUGCUGGCACAGAUUUAAAACGUGCUUAGAGAAUUAGGC
rnacentral:lncRNA from 1 species